rnacentral:rRNA from 1 species
GUCCUAACCUUAAACUAUGUAUACUUGGCGUAGAUGGUCUCAACCCCAUCUGUGCCGGAGCGAACGCGUUAAGUAUACCGCUUGGGGAGUACACUCGCAAGGGUGAAACUCAAAAGAAUUGACGGGGACCCGCACAAGCAGUGGAGCAUGUGGUUCAAUUCGAUGCAACGCGAAGAACCUUACCAGGGUUUGAAAUGCAAGUGGCGUCGGCAGAAAUGUCGAUUUCCCGCAAGGGACGCUUGCACAGGUGCUGCAUGGCUGUCGU